GAUGAAGAACGCAGCGAAAUGCGAUAAGUAAUGUGAAUUGCAGAAUUCAGUGAAUCAUCGAAUCUUUGAACGCACAUUGCGCCCCUUGGUAUUCCGGGGGGCAUGCCUGUUCGAGCGUCAUUAUAACCCCUCAAGCUCAGCUUGGUGUUGGGGCCUGCCGCACGGGCAGCCCUUAAAAUCAGUGGCGGUGCCAUCUGGCUCUAAGCGUAGUAAUUCUUCUCGCUAUAGAGUCCCGGUGGAUGCUUGCCAUUAACCCCCAAUUUUCUAUGGUUGACCUCGGAUCAGGUAGGGAUACCCGCUGAACUUAAGCAUAUCAAUAAGCGGAGGA
rnacentral:misc_RNA from 1 species